UACGUAGGGUGCAAGCGUUGUCCGGAAUUAUUGGGCGUAAAGAGCUCGUAGGCGGUCUGUCGCGUCGGAUGUGAAAACCCAGGGCUCAACCCUGGGCCUGCAUUCGAUACGGGCAGACUAGAGUUCGGUAGGGGAGACUGGAAUUCCUGGUGUAGCGGUGAAAUGUGCAGAUAUCAGGAGGAACACCGGUGGCGAAGGCGGGUCUCUGGGCCGAAACUGACGCUGAGGAGCGAAAGCGUGGGGAGCAAACAGG
rnacentral:rRNA from 1 species